AUCAUUAAUAUUAUUGUUUUAUGAGUAGAACGGGACAUGUGAAAUCUUGUUUGAAUAUAGGAGAACCAUCUUCUAAGCCUAAAAAUGCUAAACUAACCGAUAGUGUACAAGUACCGUGAGGGAAAGGCGAAAAGUCCUUAGGAGGCGUUAAAUUUUCCAAUGAAAUUGGAUGCCUAAUAACUGAUGGAGCCCGUAUAGGGUGACAUCGUACCUUUUGUAUAAUGGGUCAGCAACUUUAUUUAUUUGGCGUAGCUUAAACUGAGAAGUGCAGGCGUAGCGAAAGCGAAAUCAAAUAUUAUUACAUGAGAUGAGACUAUAUCCGACAAAUAUUAAAAAUCGUUAGAAUUUAAUAGCGUUUAGUCAAAUAAAUAAUACCCGAAACCGUGUGAUCUAGUUAUGAGCAGGUUGAAGCUCAUGUAACAAUGAGUGAAGGACCGAACCCGUGUAUGUUGCAAAAUACUGGGAUGACUUGUGACUAGGAGUGAAAGGCUAAUCAAACACGGUAAUAGCUGGUUUUCUGCGAAAUCUAUUUUAGUAGAGCGUCAAGAAAUCUAAAUCUGGGGUAGAGCUCUCAAUGGACUAGGGGGAUGAAAGUCUUACCAAACCCAAGGAAACUUCGAAUACGGAUUUAUGUAAACUUGGCAGACAGACAUUGUGCGCGAAGGCUCAAUGUCAAGAGGGAAACAGCCCUCAUUAUUUGUUAAGGUCCUUAAGUUAUCUCUUAGUGAACAAGGAAGUUGUACUACGAAAACAACCAGGAGGUAGGCUUGGAAGCAGCCAUCCUUUAAAGAAAGCGUAACAGCUCACUGGUCUAGUAGUAUAGCGCCGAAAAUGUAUAGGGACUCAAGAGAUACACCGAAACAGUAACUAGUUAUUAUUUAUAUAACUAGGGUAGCAGAACGUUCUGUAGACUCAUGAAGCUUUUUUGAAAGAAAAGGUGGAGGUAUCAGAAGUGAGAAUGCUGACAUAAGUAACGAUAAACUAUGUUCUAGAAUCAUAGUCGCCGAAAGUUUAAGGGUUUCGAAUGAUAAGAGUUCGACUUAUUCGAUUAAAACGGCCCCUAAGGUCAAAGCGAAAGCUGUAGCCGAUGGGAUGUUUCUUUAAAAGGAACUUCUUUUUGUGUAUGACGAAGAAACAAUGGUAUGUAUAAUUUCGAUUAUUAUGCUAGUUUCUUCCAGGAAAAAGUCACAAAAGUAUAAGACCGUACCCCAAACCGACACAGGUAAAUUGGUAGAGAAUACUAAGGCGCGUGAGUAAACCAAGUUUAAGGAACUCGGCAAAAUGACCUCGUAACUUCGGGAGAAGAGGUACUCUUUUUUGAGAGUGACACAAAAUCGGGGGUAACGACUGUUUAAUAAAAACACAUGACUCUGCUAAAUCGUAAGAUGAUGUAUAGGGUCUGACACCUGCCCGGUGCCAGAAGGCUAAAAGGAGAUGUGCAAGCUUCGAAUUGAAUCCCUGGUAAACGGCGGCCGUAACUCUGACGGUCCUAAGGUAGCGAAAUUCCUUGUUAAUUAAUUGUUGACCUGCAUGAAUGGUGUAACGAUUUCCCCACUGUCUCAAACUUGAUCUCAGUGAAAUUGAAAUGUCCGUGAAGAUGCGGACUAUCUACGGCUAGACGGAAAGACCCCGU
rnacentral:rRNA from 1 species